UAGUCCACGCCGUAAACGAUGAUAACUAGCUGUUCGGGUUCACAGAACUUGAGUGGCGCAGCUAACGCAUUAAGUUAUCCGCCUGGGGAGUACGGUCGCAAGAUUAAAACUCAAAGGAAUUGACGGGGGCCUGCACAAGCGGUGGAGCAUGUGGUUUAAUUCGAAGCAACGCGCAGAACCUUACCAGCUUUUGACAUCCUGGUCGCGGAUAGAGGAGACUCUUUCCUUCAGUUCGGCUGGACCAGUGACAGGUGCUACAUGGCUGUCGUCAGCUCGUGCCGUGAGGUGUUGGGUUAAGUCCCGCAACGAGCGCAACCCUUGUCUUUAGUUGCCAUCAUUUAGUUGGGCACUCUAGAGAAACUGCCGGUGACAAACCGGAGGAAGGUAAGGAUGACGUCAAGUCAGCAUGCCCCUUACGCUCUGGGCUACACACGUGCUACAAUGGUCGUGACAAAGAGUUGCUAGUCUGCGAAGGCAAGCCAAUCUCAUAAACGCGGCCUU
rnacentral:rRNA from 1 species